GUGGCUAUAGCUCAGUUGGUAGAGCGCUGGCUUGUGGUGCCGGAAGUCGCGGGUUCAAGCCCCGUUAGCCACCCCA
rnacentral:tRNA from 1 species